AUUCUUAUGCUACUCUUUGUCUGGUGCAUAUGUUUGUUUGAAGCUGAUUAAAUUUCUCAUCUCAUGAUUUUUGUUAUUAGUUUGCGAUUUGGAUGAUACCCAUCAGGACACGUUUUUUCUUGUCACCCUAUUGUCUUUGCUUGUUCCUUGAUUUCUAGAGAUAAUUGACUUAUCACUACAAUUUUUAUCCUUAUUAUUUAACCUUAUAGUAGAUCCUGGA
rnacentral:misc_RNA from 1 species